AUGAACGCUAGCUACAGGCUUAACACAUGCAAGUCGAGGGGCAGCAUGAACUUAGCUUGCUAAGUUUGAUGGCGACCGGCGCACGGGUGAGUAACACGUAUCCAACCUGCCGAUGACUCGGGGAUAGCCUUUCGAAAGAAAGAUUAAUACCCGAUGGCAUAGUUCUUCCGCAUGGUAGAACUAUUAAAGAAUUUCGGUCAUCGAUGGGGAUGCGUUCCAUUAGGUUGUUGGCGGGGUAACGGCCCACCAAGCCUUCGAUGGAUAGGGGUUCUGAGAGGAAGGUCCCCCACAUUGGAACUGAGACACGGUCCAAACUCCUACGGGAGGCAGCAGUGAGGAAUAUUGGUCAAUGGACGAGAGUCUGAACCAGCCAAGUAGCGUGAAGGAUGACUGCCCUAUGGGUUGUAAACUUCUUUUAUACGGGAAUAAAGUGAGGCACGUGUGCCUUUUUGUAUGUACCGUAUGAAUAAGGAUCGGCUAACUCCGUGCCAGCAGCCGCGGUAAUACGGAGGAUCCGAGCGUUAUCCGGAUUUAUUGGGUUUAAAGGGAGCGUAGGCGGACGCUUAAGUCAGUUGUGAAAGUUUGCGGCUCAACCGUAAAAUUGCAGUUGAUACUGGGUGUCUUGAGUACAGUAGAGGCAGGCGGAAUUCGUGGUGUAGCGGUGAAAUGCUUAGAUAUCACGAAGAACUCCGAUUGCGAAGGCAGCCUGCUGGACUGUAACUGACGCUGAUGCUCGAAAGUGUGGGUAUCAAACAGGAUUAGAUACCCUGGUAGUCCACACAGUAAACGAUGAAUACUCGCUGUUUGCGAUAUACAGUAAGCGGCCAAGCGAAAGCGUUAAGUAUUCCACCUGGGGAGUACGCCGGCAACGGUGAAACUCAAAGGAAUUGACGGGGGCCCGCACAAGCAGUGGAGUAUGUGGUCUAAUUCGAAGCAACGCGAAGAACCUUACCAAGUCUUGACAUCCUUCUGACCGGUACUUAACCGUACCUUCUCUUCGGAGCAGGGGUGACAGGUGGUGCAUGGUUGUCGUCAGCUCGUGUCGUGAGAUGUUGGGUUAAGUCCCGCAACGAGCGCAACCCUUAUUGCCAGUUACUACGCAAGAGGACUCUGGCGAGACUGCCGUUGACAAAACGGAGGAAGGUGGGGAUGACGUCAAAUCAGCACGGCCCUUACGUCCGGGGCUACACACGUGUUACAAUGGGGGGUACAGAAGGCAGCUACACGGCGACGUGAUGCUAAUCCCUAAAGCCUCUCUCAGUUCGGAUUGGAGUCUGCAACCCGACUCCAUGAAGCUGGAUUCGCUAGUAAUCGCGCAUCAGCCACGGCGCGGUGAAUACGUUCCCGGGCCUUGUACACACCGCCCGUCACACCAUGGGAGUCAGUAACGCCCGAAGUCAGUGACCCAACCGUAAGGAGGGAGCUGCCGAAGGCGGGACCGAUAACUGGGGUG
rnacentral:rRNA from 1 species